ACACGUGUGAGUAACGCGCGAGAAUUUACCUUUAGGAAGAGGGCAACUUCUAGAAAUAGAAGCUAAUACUCUAUAUGCCACCUGGUGAAAGAAGAAAUUCGCCUAAAGAGAAGCUCGCGUCUGAUUAGCUAGUUGGUAAGGUAAAGGCUUACCAAGGCGACGAUCAGUAGCUGGUUUGAGAGGACGAUCAGCCACACUGGAACUGAGACACGGU
rnacentral:rRNA from 13 species